rnacentral:rRNA from 1 species
UACGGAGGGAGCUAGCGUUGUUCGGAAUUACUGGGCGUAAAGCGCGCGUAGGCGGCUUUGUAAGUUAGAGGUGAAAGCCCGGGGCUCAACCCCGGAAUUGCCUUUAAGACUGCAUCGCUUGAAUCCGGGAGAGGUGAGUGGAAUUCCGAGUGUAGAGGUGAAAUUCGUAGAUAUUCGGAAGAACACCAGUGGCGAAGGCGGCUCACUGGACCGGCAUUGACGCGCUGAGGUGCGAAAGCGUGGGGAGCAAACAGGUUGAG